GAGCGUAUUAGCGGAAGUUUUCGGAUGGAAGCGGAUAUGACUUAGCGGCGGACGGGUGAGUAACGCGUGGAUAACCUGCCUCAUACAGGGGGAUAACAGUUAGAAAUGACUGCUAAUACCGCAUAAGCGCACAGGACCGCAUGGUCCGGUGUGAAAAACUCCGGUGGUAUGGGAUGGAUCCGCGUCUGAUUAGCUGGUUGGUGAGGUAACGGCCCACCAAGGCGACGAUCAGUAGCCGACCUGAGAGGGUGGCCGGCCACAUUGGGACUGAGACACGGCCCAAACUCCUACGGGAGGCAGCAGUGGGGAAUAUUGCACAAUGGGGGAAACCCUGAUGCAGCAACGCCGCGUGAGUGAAGAAGUAUUUCGGUAUGUAAAGCUCUAUCAGCAGGGAAGAAGAAAGACGGUACCUGACUAAGAAGCCCCGGCUAACUACGUGCCAGCAGCCGCGGUAAUACGUAGGGGGCAAGCGUUAUCCGGAUUUACUGGGUGUAAAGGGAGCGUAGACGGCUGUGCAAGUCUGAAGUGAAAGCCCGUGGCUCAACCGCGGAACUGCUUUGGAAACUGUAUAGCUUGAGUACUGGAGAGGCAGGCGGAAUUCCUAGUGUAGCGGUGAAAUGCGUAGAUAUUAGGAGGAACACCAGUGGC
rnacentral:rRNA from 1 species